rnacentral:rRNA from 1 species
GACGAACGCUGGCGGCGUGCUUAACACAUGCAAGUCGAACGGUAAGGCCCCUCGGGGUACACGAGUGGCGAACGGGUGAGUAACACGUGGGUGAUCUGCCCUGCACUUCGGGAUAAGCCUGGGAAACUGGGUCUAAUACCGGAUAGGACCACUGCCUGCAUGGGUGGUGGUGGAAAGCUUUUGCGGUGUGGGAUGGGCCCGCGGCCUAUCAGCUUGUUGGUGGGGUGAUGGCCUACCAAGGCGACGACGGGUAGCCGGCCUGAGAGGGUGACCGGCCACACUGGGACUGGGAGACGGCCCAGACUCCUACGGGAGGCAGCAGUGGGGAAUAUUGCACAAUGGGCGCAAGCCUGAUGCAGCGACGCCGCGUGAGGGAUGACGGCCUUCGGGUUGUAAACCUCUUUCAGCACCGACGAAGCGCAAGUGACGGUAGGUGCAGAAGAAGGACCGGCCAACUACGUGCCAGCCGCCGCAGUAA